rnacentral:rRNA from 1 species
AGAGUUUGAUCCUGGCUCAGGAUGAACGCUAGCGGCAGGCCUAAUACAUGCAAGUCGAACGAUACCAGGGAGCUUGCUCUCUGGGAAAGUGGCGCACGGGUGCGUAACGCGUAUGCAACCUACCUUAAUCAGGGGGAUAGCCUCUCGAAAGAGAGAUUAACACCGCAUAAAAUCAAAGAAUGGCAUCAUUCAAUGAUCAAAUAUUUAUAGGAUUAAGAUGGGCAUGCGUGUCAUUAGCUAGUUGGUGAGGUAACGGCUCACCAAGGCGACGAUGACUAGGGGAUCUGAGAGGACGACCCCCCACACUGGUACUGAGACACGGACCAGACUCCUACGGGAGGCAGCUGUAAGGAAUAUUGGUCAAUGGAGGCAACUCUGAACCAGCCAUGCCGCGUGCAGGAAGACGGCCCUAUGGGUUGUAAACUGCUUUUAUACGGGAAUAAACCUCUCUUCGUGAAGAGAGCUGAAUGUACUGUAAGAAUAAGGAUCGGCUAACUCCGUGCCAGCAGCCGCGGUAAUACGGAGGAUCCAAGCGUUAUCCGGAUUUAUUGGGUUUAAAGGGUGCGUAGGCGGCUUAUUAAGUCAGGGGUGAAAGACGGUGGCUCAACCAUCGCAGUGCCUUUGAUACUGAUGAGCUUGAAUACACUUGAGGUAGGCGGAAUGUGACAAGUAGCGGUGAAAUGCAUAGAUAUGUCACAGAACACCAAUUGCGAAGGCAGCUUACUAAGGUGCAAUUGACGCUGAGGCACGAAAGCGUGGGGAUCAAACAGGAUUAGAUACCCUGGUAGUCG